ACCUACGGGGGGCAGCAGUGAGGAAUAUUGGUCAAUGGUCGGGAGACUGAACCAGCCAAGCCGCGUGAGGGAUGAAGGUACAGAGUAUCGUAAACCUCUUUUGUCAGGGAACAAAGGCGGGGGCGUGUCCCCGGAUGAGUGUACCUGAAGAAAAAGCAUCGGCUAACUCCGUGCCAGCAGCCGCGGUAAUACGGAGGAUGCGAGCGUUAUCCGGAUUUAUUGGGUUUAAAGGGUGCGCAGGCGGUCUGUUAAGUCAGCGGUCAAAGCCCGGGGCUCAACCCCGGCCCGCCGUUGAAACUGGCAGU
rnacentral:rRNA from 1 species